rnacentral:lncRNA from 1 species
CCACAUAUUGAUUCUACAAAGCUCUUCCAGGAAAUUUCACUCAGAUUUUAUUGGCCAGAGCAGGUUACAAGAGCAUGCCUAACAACAGAUUUCCUGCCAAGGAAAGAGAUAUUCACCCAUUGUAAACCAUUAAAUGAAUUCUCUACUACGAGUGAGCACCUUGAGAGCUGGACAAGACAAGAACAAACAGUUUGAGUGACAUGCACCUGCCCCACAGAAAGACGGAGUGUCAAGUACGUGAAUGAGGAUGCGGAAGACA